UUGCUCCGGCAGUACAUGUACUAAAAUUGGAACGAUACAGAGAAGAUUAGCAUGGCCCCUUGCACAAGGAUGACACGCAAAUUAUCUCUCUCUCUCCGCUUUCUU